UGAGUUGGCCAUGGCGAUCGCGUCGGCGUGAACGAGGAAGCACUGUUUUCCCACGCACGCUGCCGAGGAAAGUCUGGACUCCGCAGAGCACGGUGGUUGUUAACGGCAACCCGGGGUGACCCGAGGGAUAAGUGCCACAGAAACGAGACCGCCCGCGUUGUACGCGAGUAAGGGUGAAAAGGUGCGGUAAGAGCGCACCAGCACAGCAGGUGACUGUUGUGGCUUGGUAAACCCCACCGGGAGCAAGGCAAAAGGCCACACCUCUAUGGUGUGGCUGCGCAGGCGUACGAGGGCUGCUCGUCCGAGCCUGCGGGUAGCUGCUACAUAGAAGGCCGUCAGCAAUGGCGGUAGCGAGAUGGAUGGUCGCCACACGACAGAAUCCGGCUUACGGUCAACUCACUCG
rnacentral:RNase_P_RNA from 1 species